GCUGAUAUGGCACUGCUCAGAUUUUUGUAACUCUCUCAAAUAUUCGAGGGACGUCAAACUCCCAUCCUGAGAGAAAGAUUGUCUUCACUCGAGCUCUGUGGCUCCAAGGAAGGAAAUAUAAAUUAAACCCCUACAAUGCGACUGCGGAGGCUCGAACCCCUUCCCUCACAUAUGUGAGGGAGUGGCUCUAGCCACUUGGGCUAGCCCAAGUGGUU
rnacentral:lncRNA from 1 species